GAGUUUGAUCUUGGCUCAGGAUGAACGCUGGCGGCGUGCUUAGCACAUGCAAGUCGAACGAAGCACUCAGGAGCGAUUUCGGUCAAUCCUGUUUGACUGAGUGGCGGACGGGUGAGUAACGCGUGAGUAACCUACCUCGCAGUGGGGAAUAACAGUUGGAAACGACUGCUAAUACCGCAUAAUGCAGAGAGACCGCAUGAUCUUUCUGCCAAAGAUUUAUCGCUGUGAGAUGGACUCGCGUCUGAUUAGCUAGUUGGUGAGGUAACGGCUCACCAAGGCGACGAUCAGUAGCCGGACUGAGAGGUUGACCGGCACAUUGGGACUGAGACACGGCCCAGACUCCUACGGGAGCAGCAGUGGGAAU
rnacentral:rRNA from 1 species